rnacentral:rRNA from 1 species
UGGGGAAUAUUGCACAAUGGGCGCAAGCCUGAUGCAGCCAUGCCGCGUGUAUGAAGAAGGCCUUCGGGUUGUAAAGUACUUUCAGCGGGGAGGAAGGGAGUAAAGUUAAUACCUUUGCUCAUUGACGUUACCCGCAGAAGAAGCACCGGCUAACUCCGUGCCAGCAGCCGCGGUAAUACGGAGGGUGCAAGCGUUAAUCGGAAUUACUGGGCGUAAAGCGAACGCAGGCGGUCUGUCAAGUCGGAUGUGAAAUCCCCGGGCUCAACCUGGGAACGGCAUCUGGUACUGGCAAUCAUGAGUCUCGUAGAGGGGGGUAGAAUUCCAGGUGUAGCGGUGAAAUGCGUAGAGAUCUGGAGGAAUACCGGUGGCGAAGGCGGCCACCUGGACGAAGACUGACGCUCAGGUGCGAAAGCGUGGGGAGCAAACAGG